rnacentral:sRNA from 1 species
UCUUUAUUGAUAAGAAAUGCCAUGGUCAGAGGUCGAGUGCCCUGCUAGUGGCAGGGCUCCAACUAUGGGAGGCUGAGUCCUGAGCAUCUGGCCAGCUGUGCAACCAACCACAGAAGGGGGCGGGAGGAGGGUGACAGGACCGACUCUGUGUCCCCGGGGACCAACGACCUCCUUUGCCCCAGCACUGCCAAGGAGAUGAGCUCCUGGAUCGCGCGCAUCAACUUGGCUGCGGCCACGCACUCCGCGCCGCCCUUCCCCGCCGCUGUGGGCUCCCAGCGCAGAUUCGUGCGGCCCAUCCUGCCCGUGGGACCCGCCCAGAGCUCCCUGGUAUGGCCUCCGUGAAGGGGUGGGAUACGGUGGAAUUGGGAAUGUGCACCUGGAGCCCCAGGACUAGCUCGGGGAGGCUGGAGGCGGGCUGCGCACCUGGCCUGGGAACUGAGGUGACCAGGAGGGCGGCACACCCGGGCCCGGAAAGCGGUGGAGGGGACGCCCGGGACAGCGUCCCUCACCGCCUGCUGCUCGCAGGAGGAGCAGCAUCGAUCCCACGAGAACUGCCUGGACGCUGCCUCGGACGACCUGCUGGAUCUGCAGAGGAACUUACCGGAGCGGCGGGGCCGUAGCCGCGAGCUGGAAGAGUAUCGCCUGCGGAAGGAGUAUCUGGAGUACGAGAAAACCCGCUACGAGACCUACGUGCAGCUGCUGGUGGCCCGCCUGCACUGCCCCUCUGAUGCUCUGGACCUGUGGGAGGAGCAGCUGGGGAGGGAAGCUGGAGGCGCUCGGGAGCCCAAGCUCAGCCUGAAGAAGUCCCACUCGAGCCCGUCCCUGCACCAGGAUGAGGCUCCCACCACGGCCAAGGUGAAGCGCAACAUCUCAGAGCGCAGAACCUACCGGAAGAUCAUCCCCAAGCGGAACCGCAAUCAGCUGUGAAGCCAGCACCACCUCAGAGACACUGCCCCCUGCUCCAGGGUAGACCUGGGAUGAACCUCCCUGGAGGAGACUUAUUUCAAUGAGUCCACCGUGAUGGAUGAGGCACCUCCUUUCCCUGCUGAAGAACAAACCUCGUUUCCCUGUGGCCCUCAUUCUUGUGUCCACUGAAGCUUUCCUAAUACUGCUGUACUCCCCCCCCACCCCCAUGGCAGUCCCUCCGCAGCCCCAUCCCUGGCCACACCCAAGGGAAGAGGGAGGUUGAGGACUUGACUUUCCUGCCAGAGCUCAUCCCAUGUCACCCUCCAGGCCCCAGAAUCCAGAGUGGCCUCAUUUCCUAGACCUGGGAGCUCAGCACUUGUUUGAGAACCAGUGCAUAUGUGGUGUGGCCUUGAAUUCUGGGGGAGAGCUUGGGGCAGCAGAGGCCCCUGGGCAGCCCAGCCAAGGGAGCCACAGCCCCGAGGAUGGUCUUGCUCUGGGAAGUAGGUGACCUUCCUGGGGAGGCCCCAGGAGAGUGAAUCAGGGACUCUUGAGAAAUUCCUAACCAGCCUCCUGUGACCCAGGGAGCAGGGUCGCUAAGGUCCUGCCCACCGAGGGGACAGCCUUCUGGGCAGGGACCUCGGGGGUCUUCAAGGGCUCCGCACGGCUGUGGGGCCCUGUGCCUUUGUCUCCUUGUGUAUCUUUUCCCCCUACAGUCUUCCUUUCCCCCGAAGCAGAUGAAACAGUCUCACAUAUCCAGCUGCUCAUCAACAGAGCAGAGCUGAGGCAUGAGUGAGGGCUGGGAGGGGUGGGGCCUCCAGAGCUUUGCAGGGAACCCUGGAACCCUGGGAACAAAGAGUCUUUGUUCCAACACAGCAGGGAAGGAGGUUCUCUAGGUUCAGACCACUGGAGAGGAUAGAGAGGUGAAAGGUGGCGACAGUUUCCCUUAGGGGUCUGCCUGGCAGGAGCCACAGGUCAGGAGAGUUGUGAGGGAUGGGAUGGAGGCUGGCGACCAGGUAAGGCCUAGGCCACGCUCGGAAGACUCUACUGUGCUCCUUCCUACACACGCCUUAAAGCUUCCUUCCUGUGGGAUGCCUGGACCCCUUCCCCAUCUCUGGCAGGUCAGAGGGUCUCUGCUGCUCUUCCCUGGGAAAUCCCCUCGUCCUGCCCUCUGGCUGCCUCCCAACUGGGCUUGUUCUCUGAGGGAGGUUCCAGAGACUCAUGGACUUGGGGCUCUGCCUGUAGGAAGGAGGCUGGGCCAGAGGGAGCAGCCACCAUUGUCUCUGUUCAGCCAAGUGUGCAAGUAGGCUGCCCGCCAAGAGGGGGCCUCUGCUACCCGCUGCUGCCUGCCGGCUGACGCACUGCCUCCCCAGCCUUCCUGCUAGGCCACCCUCCUCCCUUCCCAUGCUUGUAACCAGCUCUGGGGCCUGGACCUCCACAAAGUGGCUGGCCCUUGGAGGCCACAUUUGGGUCUCCGGCCAGGGCCUGGGGCUAGGCCAUGCACCCAAUGGGUGCACAAUAAAUACAGGUCAAC